rnacentral:rRNA from 1 species
AACGAACGCUGGCGGCAUGCCUAACACAUGCAAGUCGAACGAGACCUUCGGGUCUAGUGGCGCACGGGUGCGUAACGCGUGGGAACCUGCACUUAGGUUCGGAAUAACUCCCCGAAAGGGGUGCUAAUACCGGAUAAUGUCUUCGGACCAAAGAUUUAUCGCCUUUGGAUGGGCCCGCGUUGGAUUAGCUAGUUGGUAGGGUAAAAGCCUACCAAGGCGACGAUCCAUAGCUGGUCUGAGAGGAUGAUCAGCCACACUGGGACUGAGACACGGCCCAGACUCCUACGGGAGGCAGCAGUGGGGAAUAUUGGACAAUGGGCGAAAGCCUGAUCCAGCAAUGCCGCGUGAGUGAUGAAGGCCUUAGGGUUGUAAAGCUCUUUUACCCGGGAUGAUAAUGACAGUACCGGGAGAAUAAGCGCCGGCUAACUCCGUG